rnacentral:tRNA from 1 species
UCCGCGAUAGUUUAAUAGGUUAGAAUUCGCGCUUGUCGCGUGCGAGAUCGGGGUUCAAUUCCCCGUCGCGGAG